GACAGAAGGUGCAAGCGUUACUCGGAAUUACUGGGCGUAAAGCGUCUGUAGGUGUCUUGCCACGUCUGGCGUAAAAUUUCAGUGCUCAACACUGAAUGCGUGCCGGAAACGAGCGAGAUCGAGUCAUUCAGAGGUAUCUGGAAUGUCGUGUGUAGGGGUAAAAUCCGUAGAUACACGAUGGAACGCCAAAAGCGAAGGCAGGAUACUGGGAAUGUACUGACACUCAGAGACGAAAGCGUGGGGAGCAAAGGGG
rnacentral:rRNA from 1 species